UACGGGGGGGGUAAGCGUUGUUCGGAAUUACUGGGCGUAAAGGGCUCGUAGGCGGCCAACUAAGUCAGACGUGAAAUCCCUCAGCUUAACUGGGGAACUGCGUCUGAUACUGGAUGGCUUGGAUUCGGGAGAGGAAUGCGGAAUUCCAGGUGUAGCGGUGAAAUGCGUAGAUAUCUGGAGGAACACCGGUGGCGAAGGCGGCAUUCUGGACCGAUAUUGACGCUGAGGCGCGAAAGCCAGGGGAGCAAACGGG
rnacentral:rRNA from 1 species